rnacentral:rRNA from 1 species
GACGAACGCUGGCGGCGUGCUUAACACAUGCAAGUCGAACGGAAAGGCCCUGCUUUUGUGGGUUGCUCGAGUGGCGAACGGGUGAGUAACACGUGAGUAACCUGCCCUUGACUUUGGGAUAACUUCAGGAAACUGGGGCUAAUAUCGGAUAGGAGCUCCUGCUGCAUGGUGGGGGUUGGAAAGUUUCGGCGGUUGGGGAUGGACUCGCGGCUUAUCAGCUUGUUUGGGGGGUAGGGGCUUACCAAGGCUUUGACGGGUAGCCGGCCUGAGGGGGUGACCGGCCACCUUGGGACUGAGAGACGGCCCAGUCUCCUACGGGACGCAGCAGUGGAGAAUAUUGCACAAUGGGCGGAAGCCUGAUGCAGCAACGCCGCGUGCGGGAUGCCGGCCUUCGGGUUGUAAACCGCUUUCGCCUGUGACGAAGCGUGAGUGACGGUAAUGGGUAAAGAAGCACCGGCUAACUACGUG